ACCACGUGACACAGCACUGCCCCCACCGGGACCCGUGCCCCCUUUUCGGCAAUCCUCCUCCCUUCCCCCACCUCCACCUCCCCUCUGCCUCCCGCCAAGCCCGCUUCGCCCGAUCGCCCGCCCUCUCUGCAAAGGAGAAAGAGACUCCACCGAAUGCACCCUUAGGGCGCAGCAGCCAGUAAGGGUCCUUCCUCUCCCGGUGACCGCUGAAAGCCCCUUUGUCUCAACCCGGGCCCCCGAGGCCCGCAGCCCCGCCCCCUCGCUCUUGCUCAAUCGGUCUCUUGUCAAUCAAACCUGGUGCCAAAGCACUGCAACUCAAGUUUUUAGGAACUCAUUCCUCUUCUUCCCCUGGAGACUAAGUUACAACGUGUGAUUUCCUCACCCGUGUCCCAGCAGAACAAAUAAGCGGAUACUCUAACUCCACUCUUGGUGCGGGACUUUUCGUCUAGCUCUCUAGGAAAAAAAAAAAAAAAAAUCCGAACUUCUGUAUAUUCUGAUUAAACUUAUCCAACGCUGAAUCGGCAGAAAAGGACCUGGGUUUAGUUCACAGCACCC